rnacentral:rRNA from 1 species
GAGUUUGAUCAUGGCUCAGAUUGAACGCUGGCGGCAUGCCUUACACAUGCAAGUCGAACGGCAGCACGGGAGCUUGCUCCUGGUGGCGAGUGGCGAACGGGUGAGUAAUGCAUCGGAACGUAUCCUGGAGUGGGGGAUAACGUAGCGAAAGUUACGCUAAUACCCCGCAUACUCUGUGAGCAGGAAAGCGGGGGACCUUCGGGCCUCGCGCUCUUGGAGCGGCCGAUGUCGGAUUAGCUAGUUGGUGAGGUAAAGGCUCACCAAGGCGACGAUCCGUAGCAGGUCUGAGAGGAUGACCUGCCACACUGGAACUGAGACACGGUCCAGACUCCUACGGGAGGCAGCAGUGGGAUUUGGACAAUGGGGCAACCCUGAUCCAGCCAUGCCGCGUGAGUGGAGAAGGCC